GCCAGGUGUGGUGGCACAGGCCUGUAAUCCCAGUGGCUUGGGAGGCAGAGGCAGGAUUAUUGCAAGUUCAGCCUCAGCAAUUUAGUAAGGCUUUUAGAAACUUAGCAAGACCCUGUCUCAA
rnacentral:sRNA from 1 species